AUUGAACGCUGGCGGCAGGCCUAACACAUGCAAGUCGAACGGUAACAGGAAACAGCUUGCUGUUUCGCUGACGAGUGGCGGACGGGUGAGUAAUGUCUGGGAAACUGCCUGAUGGAGGGGGAUAACUACUGGAAACGGUAGCUAAUACCGCAUAACGUCGCAAGACCAAAGAGGGGGACCUUCGGGCCUCUUGCCAUCGGAUGUGCCCAGAUGGGAUUAGCUAGUAGGUGGGGUAACGGCUCACCUAGGCGACGAUCCCUAGCUGGUCUGAGAGGAUGACCAGACACACUGGAACUGAGACACGGUCCAGACUCCUACGGGAGGCAGCAGUGGGGAAUAUUGCACAAUGGGCGCAAGCCUGAUGCAGCCAUGCCGCGUGUAUGAAGAAGGCCUUCGGGUUGUAAAGUACUUUCAGCGGGGAGGAAGGGAGUAAAGUUAAUACCUUUACUCAUUGACGUUACCCGCAGAAGAAGCACCGGCUAACUCCGUG
rnacentral:rRNA from 1 species